ACAGAGCACAGCGAUUAUUUACGAAUAAAUUGUCUUGUUCUUUAAGAUAAAUCGUAGUUCACCACCUACCUAUGUUGUCAUGACAACAACAAUGAAUUGAGAAGAAGGUUUAAAAGCUUUAGAAACUUCAAUCAAAACCAUUGAAGAAGUCAUUAUGAACAAGAAAGCCAAAGGUUGUCACAGAUAUGGAUGAAGCAGACUUUGCAAAGGAACUGGAAAAUUUUGAACGUCAAAAUGCAGAAGUUGAUGGUGAUGAUGAUAAUCCUGAUGAUGAAGAAAAACAAGAUGAAGCAUAAAUGAUUGUGGUUUGUUUUAAAACAUUUUAAAAGACACAUACUGAUGUUUUAUUUUUAUCUUACACGACCCUGCAGUUGACUUGAACUGCAUUUAGUUAAACUUCAAUUAUAUUCAAACCCAACACAGAUAUCAAUCUUUCAUGUUACUAUUAGAAAUAUAUGUUUCAUGGUCAGUA